GAUGAACGCUGGCGGCGUGCUUAACACAUGCAAGUCGAGCGGAAAGACGAGGAGUUUGUUCCUUUGUCGAUUGCCGAGCACGGGAGAGACACAUGUGGAAACUGUACUUAUCAGACUGGGAAAACUUCGGGACUCCGGCGAUUACCCCGGAUAAUAUAUUGAACCGUAUGGUUCAAUAGUGAAAGACGGGUUUGGUGUCAGUUCUCGAUGGAUCCGCGUCGCAUUAGCGUGUUGGCAAGGUAACGGGUUACCAAGGCAACGAUGCGUAACCGACUUGCGAGGGUGAUCGGCCACGCGAGAACGGAGACACGGACCAGGCUCCUGCGAGAGGCAACAGUAGGGAAUGUGGCGCAAUGGGGGAAAACCUGACGGAGCGACGCCGCGUGAGUGAUGAAGGUCUUCUGAUCGUAAAACUCGUUUAUGAGGUAAGAACAAAUGUGUAAGUAACUAUGCACUUCUUGACGGUACCUGGUCAAGAAGCCACGGCUAACUACGUG
rnacentral:rRNA from 1 species